rnacentral:lncRNA from 8 species
GUGGAUUUUGUCAAUGUUAAGCCACAGUAUAGGUAGUGUAUAGCCCCAUUCAUGCAAUUUGCUCUUAAAGCCUCUGGGCUAACCGAUCACUCAAGUUCACCCAUCACUGUCCAGGCACUAUGGUUCAUAUUCCAUGCUCAAACCAGCAGACAUCAAGGACCCAGGCUUUUAUGAAACCAGGACCAGAUGUCAGCCAGCCACAGCCUCAAUUAAUCUCCAAGGCCUUGUAACAAGCCCCGAGAAGAAACUCAAAACAAUCUUUGGGUGCGUAGGUCUAGGAGGACAGAGAGGCAGAGAUGGUGAGAGGGAAGCGAGGGUGAGAGAUGCUAUCCAGGGAGCACGGAGCCUGGCUAGCGAGCCUGCACAAGGGGAGAUAAGAAGGGGCGGCUGGGCGGUGGUGGAGCCUGGGUCACAGAGAAGAGGCUGGGGUUAUUCAUUGCCUUGCCGUGAAAGCUUGAGAAGAUUACCCAGGGCCUGGCUGGCAGUGAUACCGAGGGAGCGGACAGGCAGAGCAGUGGGGGGCCCCCUUUCACCCCCUUUGUUCCCAUCCAUCUGCUUGGAUCUUACAAUGGCUCAUAGAGACAGGGGGCUGGAGGGGUGCAGCCUGCAAGAAAGAGGGACCGACCUGAUGGAAAGCGGUGUACCAGGGAGAGUGAAACCAAGAAAGGGAGGGGAGAAGAGAUAGAGGAGGACAGGAUACACAACGAAUGAGGACUCAAGCACACGGCUUGUUGAGAUUGAAUGAAUGGCGCUGCAGCUGACAAGCUCUGACAUACUACAUUGGGAGAGGCGAUGGAGGCGGGUGUUUACAUUGUCUUUUUCCGGGCCGGUAAUGGGCUAGCAGCUCCUCUUCACUCUGUAUAAUCAGUACUUUGGAUAGACUCAGACGCCUCUUCAAACCAUGAUAAAUAAACUACUCCAAAACCUUUGCGACUGAGAGGACAGCAUUUGUCUGUCAAUGUGUUGACCACUGUAUUCAUCUUGUUGAGGAAUGAUCAGAUGAUAAAGGAGUUGUGUCCUGUAAAAUGUUGUCCAGACAAACUAUACCUCCACUCACAACAAAAGGGUUUUGUCCUUUGAUUAUCUAUGUUCCACUUGUAGAAUAGCAGACAGGUUUAAAGUGGUAAGCAUUGUUAGGAAGAGUGUUUAUGGUCGUUGCAUUGCAUUGACAAUGGGGUGGAAUAUUACUUUGGUAAUACCUCAUGAGUAAGUUUAUUAAUGAUGAAAUAUGGAAAUGUAUUACUACUGUGGUCUAUGGAUGGAUGCCAAGAGGAAUAUGUGUGUGUGUGUACGUGUGUGUACAGAUGUAGGAUCUUUAUUUGAGCCAGUUUGCUACUGUCACGUCCUGACCAGUAAAGGGGUUAUUUGUAAAUGUAAAUUUGUUAUUGUAAGUUUGGUCAGGACGUGGCAGGGGGUGUUUGUUUUAGGUGUUUCGGGGUUUUUUGGUCAGUGUUCUAUGUUAGUCUAUUUCUAUGUCUGUGUCUAGUUUAUCUAUUUCUAUGCUUAGUUUAUUGGUUUGACCUUCAAUUGGAGACAGCUGUUUCUCGUUGCCUCUAAUUGAAGGUCCUAUUUAGUAGGGGUGUUUUUUCAUGGGUUUUUGUGGGUAGUUGUUCCAUGUGUAUGCCUCUCAGGACUGUUUUUUCGUCGUCGUUGUUUUCAUUUAAGUGUUUGUUUUGGUUUUCUUCACAAUAAAGAAGAUGAGCAUACACAUUCCCGCUGCGCCUUGGUCCCAUCUUUACGACGAGCGUGACAGCUACAGCAGGAAAAUAAUCCUGCAGCGAAAGGAAAUUAUUAUGUGAAUUAUAAUUAAUGGAAAAAUGUGUAGGGGUUGAUACAUUUUUCAUAAGGGCAAAUCAAGUCUGACAUUUUAAAGUGGAAAUGACAAACUUUAGAAUACUUUUUAAACCUUGAAUACACUUCAAGUUUGCAUUUCCUCAGCAAAAAAAUCAUCAAAUUAAGAUCCUAUAUCUGUAGGUGGUAAUGCCUUUGAGCUUGUUUUUUGCUCUUACUUUUUUAAGAAGAUAACUCACCAUGAACUGCCGCUGUACAGUAAUUCAUGACUCACUGAAUAUAUUAGAGAAAGAAUAGAUGUUGUAUUGCUGAGGAUAAGGCAAUCUUCCUUAUGAAAGUGUGAUCUCUGAUAAAAGGUUAUAUUGCUGUUGCAGUCUAAUCUUAUUAUUAAAAGUGGUGUUGAUAUAUAAUUCAAAUCAAUUCCCAUUGUCAUAUUUUACUUAACUGUAUGUUUCAGAUAGUGUGUUAUCUAAUUUUGAGAAGAAAUUGGCAUUUUGGAACAUUAAAGGGUAGUUAUCUGUUAUCUACAAGGGAACCUCCAUUUCCAUCUUCAUGACAACUACCUAUAAAAAAAGGCUAUAAGCUAUUCAACCCCCCCUAGACCCAGGUUACUCCAUCUCAACCUGUCCACCACUUCUAAAAAUGUUGUGACAUUAAGGUCAACCCAUCUUUUGAUUGUCCUCAGUGUAUCUAGUUCAUGAGUGAAUGUAUGAAUAGCCCUAUUGCUGAAAUAUGAAUAGCAGACCAAUUACUUAGGCCCGGAUGGAGUUGGUUGCUCCUAGGAGAAUGGCCUCUCCUUGUGUAACACUAAUCAUGUGCUUGUGUGUGUGUGUGCACCGCCCAGCAAUCCUCAUAGCAUUCUCUCAGUAGUAAAUAGGUAUUGAGAGGACAAGAGGCAGGCUACUGAGACAAUGUUAAAGUAUGUGCUUGUUGUUACAUGAAGCAUUUGGAAAUCUUUUUGAAAUCUUUAUAUUCAUACAUGUUCGUACAUGCCUUUCAUGAUUAAACUCAGAUUAGAUGUGGUGUAGGCCUACAUCAUAGACUGUAAAAAUACAAAGUCUCAAAACACCAGGGUUGUGUAAUGAAACCAUGAAAAGUAGCGCACUUAUUAUGAGAUUGUAAGGGCUGUCGUGAGAGAGAGACCAAGGUGCAGCGGAGUUAGUGUUCAUCAUAAAAGGUUUUAAUGAUCAACGAACACUAUACAAAAGAAACCAAAAAACAACUAGCAACAGUUCUGUUAGGAACACACUAAACAGAAAACAAUUACCCACAAAACCCAAAGGAAAACAUGCUCCUUAUGUGUGACUCCCAAUCAGCAACAACGAGCUUCAGCUGUGCCUGAUUGGGAGCCACACACGGCCCAAAACAAAGAAAUACAAAAACAUGGAACAUAGAACGCCCACCAAUGUAACACCCUGGCCUAACCAAAAUAAAGAACAAAAAAACCCUCUUUAUGGCCAGGGCGUUACAGUACCCCCCCCAAGGUGCGGACUCCGGCCGCAAAACCUGACACUGAAGGGGAGGGUCCGGGUGGGCCUUCUUACGGCGGCGGCUCAGGUGCGGGACGUGGCCUCUGCUCCACCCUUGGCGUCGCCCUCUUAGGUGGCGCACCUGGCCGCGCCGAAGGUCUGGUGGGCGACCCUGAAUGCGCCCGGCUGGCGGGCGGUGAUGGUUGCGCCUGGCUGGCGGGCGACCCUGGUUGCGCCCGGCUGGCGGGCGGAGAUGGCUGCGCCCGGCUGGCGGGCGGCGAUGGCUGCGCCCGGCUGGCGGGCGGCGAUGGU